rnacentral:tRNA from 1 species
AUAAAAAGAUAAGCUAAAAAAAGCUUUUGGGUUCAUACCCCAACAAUAAAGAUUAAUCUUUUCUUUUUA